rnacentral:rRNA from 1 species
GACGAACGCUGGCGGCGUGCCUAAUACAUGCAAGUAGAACGCUGAAGGAGGAGCUUGCUCUUCUGGAUGAGUUGCGAACGGGUGAGUAACGCGUAGGUAACCUGCCUGGUAGCGGGGGAUAACUAUUGGAAACGAUAGCUAAUACCGCAUAAGAGUAGAUGUUGCAUGACAUUUACUUAAAAGGUGCAAUUGCAUCACUACCAGAUGGACCUGCGUUGUAUUAGCUAGUUGGUGGGGUAACGGCUCACCAAGGCGACGAUACAUAGCCGACCUGAGAGGGUGAUCGGCCACACUGGGACUGAGACACGGCCCAGACUCCUACGGGAGGCAGCAGUAGGGAAUCUUCGGCAAUGGACGGAAGUCUGACCGAGCAACGCCGCGUGAGUGAAGAAGGUUUUCGGAUCGUAAAGCUCUGUUGUAAGAGAAGAACGAGUGUGAGAGUGGAAAGUUCACACUGUGAC